rnacentral:rRNA from 1 species
AGACAGCAGUCGCCACGGGAAUACGUAGGUGGCAAGCGUUGUCCGGAAUUAUUGGGCGUAAAGCGCGCGCAGGCGGAUAGGUCAGUCUGUCUUAAAAGUUCGGGGCUUAACCCCGUGAUGGGAUGGAAACUGGGAAGCUGGAGUAUCGGAGAGGAAAGUGGAAUUCCUAGUGUAGCGGUGAAAUGCGUAGAGAUUAGGAAGAACACCGGUGGCGAAGGCGACUUUCUGGACGAAAACUGACGCUGAGGCGCGAAAGCGUGGGGAGCAAACAGGAUUAGAUACCCGCGUAGUCCCUGUCUCUUAUACA